rnacentral:ncRNA from 2 species
AUCGUUUUGUCUUGUUCAGGUGCCCGAUUUGGGCUUAAAGGGGAAUCCCGUGAAAGACGGGAGCGGACCCGCCGCUGUAAUCCUGAUUCCGAUUCAUUCGGACUAGUCCGACAAGUCGGAAUAAAAGCUUCUAUCAAGCAUUGCCACUUUUCCCGACACAUCGGGGAUGGGAAGGCAGAUAGAAAUCAGGAGAGCCAGAAGACCAACCUGGACAAAACCUCACAU